rnacentral:rRNA from 1 species
CCCUUAGAUGUUCUGGGCCGCACGCGCGCUACACUGAUGCAUUCAACGAGUCCAACCUUGACCGAGAGGUCCGGAUAAUCUUUGAAACUGCAUCGUGAUGGGGCUAGAUUAUUGCAAUUAUUAAUCUUCAACGAGGAAUGCCUAGUAAGCGUGAUUCAUCAAAUCGCGUUGAUUACGUCCCUGCCCUUUGUACACACCGCCCGUCGCUCCUACCGAUUGAGUGUGUUGGUGAGGAGUUUGGAUUGGCCUCGGAAGGUGGUUCGCCACCGUCCGUAGCUGAGAAGUUCUCCAAACCGCCCCACUUAGAGGAAGGAGAAGUCGUAACA